rnacentral:rRNA from 1 species
UACGUAGGGCGCAAGCGUUAUCCGGAAUUAUUGGGCGUAAAGAGCUCGUAGGCGGUUUGUCGCGUCUGCUGUGAAAGACCGGGGCUCAACUCCGGUUCUGCAGUGGGUACGGGCAGACUAGAGUGCAGUAGGGGAGACUGGAAUUCCUGGUGUAGCGGUGAAAUGCGCAGAUAUCAGGAGGAACACCGAUGGCGAAGGCGGCGCUCUGGACCGAGACUGACGCUGAGGCGCGAAGGCGUGGGGAGCAAACAGG